rnacentral:rRNA from 1 species
CCUACGGGAGGCUGCAGUGAGGAAUAUUGGUCAAUGGGCGAGAGCCUGAUCCAGCCAAGUCGCGUGAGGGAGUACUGCCCUAUGGGUUGUAAACCUCUUUUGUCGGGGAGCAAAAGUCGGACGUGUUCGGCUGUGAGAGUACCCGAAGCAAAAGCAUCGGCUACCUCCGUGCCAGCACCCGCGGUAAUACGGAGGAUGCGGGCGGUAUCCGGAGUUUUUGGGUUUAAAGGGUGCGCAGGCGGAUUUUUAGGACCACGGUCAAAUCGUGGGGCUCAACCCCAUCCAGCCGUUGAAACUGGGGGGCUAGAGUGUGCGAGAGGGAUGCAGAAUGCGUGGUGUAGCGGUGAAAUGCGUAGAUAUCACGCAGAACCCCGAUUGCGAAGGCAGCAUACCGGUGAACAACUGACGCUCAGGCACGAAAGCGUGGGUAUCGAACAGGAUUAGAUACCCCUGUAGUC